GGCGGUAGCUACCAGCCCCUUGUCUAGAAAGAGGCUCCUCGCUCGCCGCGAGGGGUGAGGGCGCACGGCGCCUGGGAUCCGCCCCUUGGGCCCCUCCCCGACGCAGCCGCCGCCCACCCGCCGGCCUUGGGCUCCCGCACAUCUGGAGGUUCUCAGCGCAUCUGGGCAGCCGGCGCCGAAGCAUGAACAGCUCGCAGGCGGGCGCCACAGCCCGGGGCGCCUGGCAGAGCUCCUGCUGCAACCAGUCGGGGGUGCCGCCGGAGCCCCCCGAGGGGCCGCGCGCCGUGCAGGCGGCGGUGCUGGGCGUGCUGUCGCUGCUCGUGCUCUGCGGGGUCCUCUUCCUGGGCGCCGGCCUCCUGCUCCGCGCCCAGGGUUUAACAGCGCUGUUGGCCCGAGAGCUGCGCGCGUCCCGGGAGGGCGAGCCCGGUGGCGCCAGCGUCGAUGACGACGACUCCUAGGCGCCCGGCUGCGUUCGGGGGUCGCGGCCUCCCGGCGGUCCGUGGACUCCAUGCCAGAUUUUGAGGGAGGGGCCCCCCAGCACCCGACGUCUGCAGUGGGGAACCCUGCCGCGAUGCUGGUGCGCUCGCACAGAGGAGCCCAGGAUUUGGUGUUAAUCCCGGACAGCUGUGCUGCACUGGACUUGCUGAGCUGUGGACUUCUCACCUCAGAUGCUGAUGCAAAAUAUGGCCUCUCUCCCCAAAAGAAUGAACCUUCACACCACACAUAUGGCAUAUGGUUUCUGGGACUGGCACCCCAACUCCGCCCCCCGCCUUGGUGUCCUCUCUCCCAUCCCUGCUCCCCCGCAGCCUUGCUGGAUACCUUCUUGGUGCUGUGAAUGGCCACCCAGGUGCCACAACAACUCCCAGCUCAGUGCCUGGGAAGCUGGCCCAUGGUGUGUGCUGUGGAGGACCUCAGUGUUCCUGGAGGAAGAGCCUGAGACGUUUGCUAAGAAACUCUGACCCUGGUCAAGGCUGUCAGACUGAAUGGGGAGGGAAAGAAUUCAGAAAAUUGGGAAAUGGGUGUUGUUGUCACGCCAUGUGUCAGGCUCGGCUUGGGAGUGGCAGGGAUGAUGACUGCAAGUUGGUGUGCCAUGGAGUGAGGCCAGGCAUUUGGAUCCCAACAAGCUCCAUUAGCCUGUGCUGUCCUUGAUGGAAAGGCUGGGUCCACACAUGUGUGGUUGGCUUACUCUUCCUCUAAACCCCGAGUCUCACCCUGAGAUGGAAAGGACUGUCAUUCCUUGGCUCCCUUUCCAGCAAGGACGGGGGCGGCUAUCUAUUACAGAUUCCCGAACCUCGCAUGGUGUGUCUCCCAGAGCACUUUCCUCCAGUCCUACCGGCCACACAAGGAACCUUUGAUCCGCAUACAGUACAGAUGACAGCCUGGGAAAAACCUGGACUGUGGUGAGACCUCAACCUGGGAUUCCUGCACACAGCUGCUUCCUCUGACCUGCUCCAUCCAACCUCCUGAAGUGCUCAUGAUGUGGGCCUGGGUGGUCAGCCCCCCAGGAAAGAAUGGGCCUCCUGGCAACUGUUGUGCGUCCUGGGCACUGAAGUGGCCACACCCUCAGGAUGCUCAGUGCUGCAGACGCUGACAGACUCGUGCCUGCUGGGCCUGGUCCCAUCUCUGGUGCUGGGUGGCUGUGGUCUGACAGGCUAGUGACUUGUCCCUGCUGAGGGUGCUAGGCCAGUGUCCCAAAUGUGAAGGUCUUGGGUGCCCCAGCAAUGCCUCAUCACUGCCCCAUCACUUCCUGUGGCUUGUUAUUAAAUAUGCUGGUAAUGUAAAGUUGGCAUAUACAGUCAGUGUUUCCAGCUCCUGGCUCUUGGAAUUAGUGGUAACCCUGGGCCAGUGGUAAAGAACCUGCCUGCCAGUGCAGGAGAUAUAAGAGAUGCAGGUUGGAUCUCUGGGUCGGAAAGAUCCCCUGGAGGAGGACAUGGCAACCCAUUCCAGUGUUCUUGCCUGGAGAAUCCCAUGGACAGAGAAGUCUGGUGGACUCCAUACAGUUGCAAAGUGUUGGACAUGACUGAAGUGACUUAGCACGCAGCAUGUUGGGUCUGCUCCAGUUUGGACUGUUUCUGGCAGAUCCUGAAAUAGCAACCCCAGUCACAGCCCCUCUCCCUUGGUCUCUUCUCAGCUAGCUUUUCCCUCUCCA
rnacentral:lncRNA from 1 species